rnacentral:rRNA from 1 species
CAGGGAAUCUUCCGCAAUGGACGCAAGUCUGACGGAGCAACGCCGCGGGAGUGAAGAAGGAUUUCGGUUCGUAAAACUCUGUUGUUAGAGAAGAACAGCGCAUAGAGUAACUGUUAUGCGUGUGACGGUAUCUAACCAGAAAGCCACGGCUAACUACGUGCCAGCAGCCGCGGUAAUACGUAGGUGGCAAGCGUUGUCCGGAUUUAUUGGGCGUAAAGCGAGCGCAGGCGGUCAAUUAAGUCUGAUGUGACAGCCCCCGGCUCAACCGGGGAGGGUCAUUGGAAACUGGUUGACUUGAGUGCAGAAGAGGAGAGUGGAAUUCCGUGUGUAGCGGUGAAGUGCGUAGAUAUGUGGAGGAACACCAGUGGCGAAGGCGAGUCUGUGGUCUGUAACUGACGCAGAGGUUCGAAAGCGUGGGUAGCAAACAGG